rnacentral:tmRNA from 1 species
GGGGGCGUUUGGUUUCGACGGGGGUUGCAGGGAUAAGAGCUGCAGGUCGAGCUUUCCGACUCGUAAAUCCGGAAACAAGAAUUAAACGCCAAUAACGAUUUAGCUUACGCUGCUUAAUUAAAGCAGCGCGUCCUUACUCGGCUUUGCCCGAGAGCCGGGAUAAGGGCGUCAAAAAAAUCGGGAUUUUCUUUUAGCGUUGCUCUGGCGCUAAAAGAGAAACUUACAGAGCUGGCCGAGCUUUAAUCCUGCCCUCAGGAGUAAAGCCGGCGAGAUC